rnacentral:tRNA from 1 species
CAGAGAAUAGUUUAUUAAAAAUAAUAAUUUUGGAGAUUAUUGAUAGGAAGAAUUUCUUUUCUCUGA